GGGUUCGGUUACAUGGUAACCGGAGGAAAUUUGGAUGGUCGGGCCGCUAUCC
rnacentral:ncRNA from 1 species